CGAGAACAGAAAUCUCGUGUG
rnacentral:siRNA from 1 species